rnacentral:rRNA from 1 species
UACGGAGGAUGCGAGCGUUAUCCGGAUUUAUUGGGUUUAAAGGGUGCGUAGGCGGCGCAGCAAGUCAGCGGUGAAAUGCAAGGGCUUAACCCUUGACGUGCCGUUGAAACUGUCGUGCUAGAAUGCGGAUGCUGUGGGAGGAAUGUGUAGUGUAGCGGUGAAAUGCAUAGAUAUUACACAGAACACCGAUUGCGAAGGCAUCUCACAAAUCCGCGAUUGACGCUGAGGCACGAAAGUGCGGGGAUCAAAC